GGGAGCAAUGUUCAUGAGCAGGAUACAGUGCAGAGUAAUGCCACCCUGCAGGUUAAAAAAGGCCACAACGGCUCUGGCUCAGGCCAAGGUUAUCUCCCAGACAUCGAAGGACGCAAAACAAAGGCUGCAGACAAACAGAAAACAACCUUCAAACAAGGACCUUUAACGACCCUCCGGGCCUGCCAGCCUCCCGGCCUUCUUUUCUUCCGCUGAGCUGAGAGGUGCCAGGGAGAGAACCGAAGGUCAGAGCGGUUCCUCCUAGCUUGCGGUCUCCAAAACGGAGCGCUAAGGCCUGGGGACUUUGGGAGGCUGGCGCGUCGCUACUGCUCAUCGGGGAAUCACAAUCCCCUUAGCUAAAAAACAUUUAACUCUUCCUUUGCCAGCCAGUGGCACAACGGAGGUGGGGGCAGGGUGGUUUAUAAAUUGCUAAAGGCUUUGGCUCAAGACACAGCGAACCAAGAAAGCAGGGGCGCUAAUUAGGACCUGGGAAAGGUUAACAGCUGUCAGAGACGCCAGGCGAGAACUUCGCCUGUUUCCAGACUCACAUCUACCCGCCGACUUCAAGGAUGCGAACACCGGUGGUCGGGCUAGGAGUCCUGGGGAAGCGUGCACUCGGAAAAAACAUGGGUGACACCGGGCGCCCCCACUGCAUUACAAGGAUGCAAACAGGACACCCUCAGAGCCCGGGGAUCGGAAGAAGCGACAGGGAGAGGCAGAUGCGCAUUCACGGAAACACGGGAUAUCCCUAUUGCAGGACAAGGAUGCAAAUGUGACAUCCUCAAAGGGCCCACGGGCAACCGGGGCCCGGCUGUCCGGAGCUGACCGCAGUAUGGUGCGAUGGUACCCGGAGACGACCAGCAAGUUUCUGCCAGCCGCAGCUGCUCUUUCACGUGUUCCUCCUCAGGCUGCGAGCCAAUCACAAGCUGCGUCGGGAGGAAGUGGGAGCGCGGAUGUGCCCCCUCCGUGGUGUCCUCGCGAAGAGCCGCUGGCUCGCCAGGUUUCAGGAAACAGAGUGGUGCAGCCCAGAGGACGCACAGCAACCCCUGGCGGACACUUCUACAAAUAACACCAAGAACUACAAGAGCUGGGGGACCAGACCAUGGAGUUGACUCUCCGUGCUCGCAGCAGGGUUUUGCCUAUGUCAGAUGGUUGUGAGCCACCAUGUGGUUGCCAAGAUUUGAAUUCAAGACCUCUGGAAGAGCAGUCAGUGCUCUUAACCGCUGAGCCAUCUCUUCAGCCAAGGUUUUACUUCUUGAAACAACUGAUUUUCCGACCUUCCUGACCCAGAACAGUAAGCAAAACCACAAACAGAUAUUAUCAAACUGUCAUUUUCAAUGCUUCUCUGGAUGACUCAUUGCUUCCUGGUGGUCUUGGGCCUAAGUACUACACUUCGCACACUACACAUUGCUCUGAUUCAGAGGUGUGAAGGAGCUAUGCAGGUAUGGUAAGACUGAUUACAUUACUUUCUUUUUUUUUUUUUCUCGGAGCUGGGGACCAAAACCAGGGCCUUGCACUUGCUAGGCAAGCGCUCUACCACUGAGCUAAAUCCCCAACCCCUACAUUACUUUCUUAAAGGUUAGUUUAAUCAGACAAGCAAAGGACAUAGUACAGAGUUUGAGGUGAUCAAAAAGCAUGUGGUUAACUUGUCUAUGAUAUCAAAUUGGGUGCUGAGGAGGCCGUGUGAGCAAACACCAUCUGAGUAUCUUAUAAACUGAAAUUCCAAGGGAAAAAAACCCACAAGUGUCAGUGGUUCUUUAGUGCUGACUAAUUAGAACUUAGCAACUAUGGAAUGCUGUAGAUCUGGAGCCAAACUCUCUUGAGCUGUCUUUAGCACACUCCCCUGCCCCUUUGAGAAGUAGGGAGAAGCCUUCAUAAGAUCACUUCAUAAGCCAUGAGAAUGUUUAGCCUGUGACUAUCCUCAAAGGUCUCUUUUUGUCUUUAAGAAUUCUUCUAGGGGUUGGGGAUUUAGCUCAGUGGUAGAGCGCUUGCCUAGCAAGCGCAAGGCCCUGGGUUCGGUCCCCAGCUCCGAAAAAAAGAAAAAAAAAAAAAAGAAUUCUUCUGUGUUCAAUGUCAGCCCGUCAGUCGUCUUGGUGAACUUUAAACUAUUAUCUAUCUAUCUAUCUAUCAUCUGUUUAUCUAUCAUCUAGAUAUCUAUAUGCAUUCGCCUCACAAUUAGAAAUGAUGUGGUUAAUCAUAUGCUGCUGGAUAUUCUGUAUCUUCUUUUCAGAAAUACUUCUUCAUAUUCUUUGCCCAUUUUCAUUAGAUAGCCCUUCAACUUAGAUGGGCAUUUACCUCACGGAUUGUAAGGAUUUGAAAUACAUUCUUAGUUACAUGUGCACUCUGUACAUGAUUUUGCUCUGUGGAAGCACUUUGGCUUUACAAAACCUUCUUCCUUUUUUUUUUUUAAUUUUGUCUUAUUUACAUAUAAAUACAUAGUAACUGUUUUUACAUAGUAGCUGUCUUCAGACACACCAGAGGAGGGCAUUGGAUCCCAUUCCAGAUGGUUGUGAACCAUCAUGUGGUUGCUGGGGAUUGAUCUCAGGACCCCUGGAAGAGCAGUCAGUGCUCUUAACCACUGAGUCACCUCUCCAGCCCCAAAACCUUGUUCUUAUGUAUCUGCUUUUCUGUGUCUUUUGGUUUGUGUCACAAGAUUUGUUUUCUAAACAGGCAUGCUCCCUUCUGUUCUCGGUGACUGUGUAAAGCACUCGGUUGUCAUACUUAUGGCUUCAGUGCAUUUGAACGGUGUAUUUAUGAGUUGUAAGAAGAGGAUCUAAUCGCACUCCACUUUCUAAAAAAUAAACUUUAUUAUAAAAAGCUUGUAAAUGAUUAAAAAAAAAAUCAGCCCAGAACUGGGAAGCAGGCUCAGUGGGUAAGGAUGCAGUGCAAGUUAGACCUGAGUUUGAAUCUAAGACCUCCAUGUAAAAAGCCACUUGUGUGCCCAAGUGCAGGUAACAUCAGCCCUGUAGGAGGAGGCAGAGACAAAAACAUGACCGGGGCUUACUGGCUGCCAGUCCAGCUCCAAGCAGAGCCUUUUCCUAUGCCACAGAACGUGGGAGACACAGAUGAGGAGGGGAGAGAGCCUUGUUAGCUCAGCUAUGCAGAUUAAAUUGACUUGAGGACUAGAGACUGGGUACAGCCUUCAGAUUUACAUUUUAAAAGACAUAAUUCUGAUAGUGACUGCUUGUAAUUGGCUUGAAGAAAGGAUGUUAACCUGGAGAAGGGCUGGAGAGUACGUGGCAGAUUUUAGUUUGGUUUGAUUUAGUUGUUUUAGAUUCUAGAGACACUCACUGCCUUGCCUUAUACCUGAGCCUCACACUGAACUAGAGACCCUCCUGCCUUAGCUCCUUGCUAAGAGGGCACGGAGUUUACCUCACCUGAUGGAUUUGAGAAGGGAAUGUCUCGCUGGAUUGCUGUUACCGUGUUGAGAAAGGGAAGAAUAUUGCAGGACUCCAAGGUUUUCAGAAUUAUGGGCAGCUAGGUAGAUGGAACCCACAGGCCCGGAGCUGGGCAGUCUCAAGCACUUGACUGAUGGAAGCAGGAAAUGCUGACUGACGUUCUAGAUCUUUUGCUACAUAGUUUAUGGUCAGUCUGGGCUACAAGGCACCUGUAUCAAAACAAAUAAACAAAACCAAAACAGAAGAAAGAAUUAUAGGAGAAUGUGGUGGUUUGAAGGAGAAUGGCCCCCAUAGGUUCAUAUAUUUGAAUGCUUACUCACUAGGGAACAGCAUUAAAAAUAUUUGGAGGCGUGGCCUUGUUGGAGGAAGUGUGUCACUGGGGUAGAGGAUGGGUUUUGAGGUAUCCAAAGCCCAUGCUGGGCUCAGACUCAAUCUGCCUAGGGAUGGAGAUGUAGCCCUUACCUCCUGCUCCAGCAUCUGCCUGCAUGCUGUCAGGCUUCCCAUCCUGAUUUCCAUGAACUCCCCCUCUGAAACUGUAAGCAAGCCCUCCUCUUUCCGAAGAGUUGGCUUGGUCCUGGCGUCUCUUCACAGUGCUAACAGAGUGACUGAGGUGGAGGGGAAGGUCUGUGGGAGAGAAAGGUAAUAUGGAGAAGCUAUUUAAAGCCAACGUUUAAAAACUUGUGCUUUCUUCCUUCUUCUGAAAACUUGUGUUUCCAAGGGGACGUUCCGGCAGUCAGUUCAAUGUGUGGAUUUAGAUCUCAGGAGAGAUCUGAGGUGGAGAUUGAGAUCUGACUAUUUGAGAGACGGACCGAAUGAAAAGUGAGAAACCCAGAAGGGUAAAGGCCAGAAAUGACAAGCUGACGUAACCCACAGAAGAGCGGGCAGGGGAGGUCGGCUUGCGAGUCAGCUACGCGUUUUCCUGCCUUUUCACCUGUGGUAACGUGUUCUUACAGUUAACGGGGCUUUAAUGACUCAGUUGAAGAAUAGUGCCUGGCUGUUUGUUUGCCUUUUUAACUGUACCUUUGGGCUGAGGUGUGGAUUGAUGAAAGAUGACUCGCUUCACAUGCACAGGCUCUUUGGCGCCCAUUGUCAGCUCCGAAGAAUUUUUCUAAUUACACUUUUUUUCUUAUUUUUUGAGAACUGUAUACAUAUAUGCAUUAUAUAUAUAUACAUAUAUAUAUAUUAUGAUCAUAUCCAACCCCAUUUCCCUCCCCCAAAUCCUCUCCAGCAUGUCCUCUUCCUAACUUCAUGUUUUCCUCCCCAUCCUCCCCGUUCUGCCCCCCUCCCUCCUCCCCCUCCCCCCUCCUCCCCCUCCUCUUCUUCCUAACUCACUAAGUCUGACUAAUUAGUGCUGUCCAUAUGUGGACGAGUGUGGGCUCAGCCCCUGGAGCAUGGAACCUGUCAUUUGGAACACACUCAGAACAGUGAUUUUUCCUCUUCCAGAAGUUCCUUAGAAAGGCAGAAGGCCUGGAGAGCACCUUCCCCGUCUCUGCCUGAAUUCUGACUGGGCUGAUCUCGUGCAAGGCUUGCACCAAUAACCAUACUGCUGUAAGUCAGUGCGUGACAGCAAUGCCACCUCCAGAAGCCUUCCACAGCCCUCCUCCCCACCGCCCGGCUCUUACAUAUUUUCCUCUUCCUCUUCCGAGCUAUUUCCUGAGCCUUGUGGGUGGGGGAGGGUUGGCCGAGGUGGGGUAGGAGAGUGUGGGAAGACUUGAUAAAGGCACGUCGCGUUAAUUAGCUGGAAGCACUCAGUCUCUUAUUCUCAGGACUUUGAUCAAUUACGUCUCUGUGUUGACUGACUGCCCACUGCAAAAAAAAAAAAAAAAAAAAAAAAAGCUUCCAUGACCAGAAGCUUCUGUGACCAAGAGUGAGAGCAGCCCAUGUCUAUAGGUAUAAAUGUCAGUAUAUAGGUGGCAAUUUGACAACAUGACCUCUGAAGCAGAUAGCCAUAGAAGACUUUACCCUAGGACCUAGGACCUACUCUGCUAUGGCAUUUUGACUAGGAUUCUAGUAGAAAACAUGAACUGCAUAUUCUGGAACAGGGCUCAACCAAAUCCAAUCAGAAAGCAAUUAGUUCUCCCCCAUAGCAGCCAUGCUGAUUGAAGCUGGGGCACAUCCUGCCUGCCCAGUCAGCACUGGAGCACGGUAGGAGGCAGUGCUGAGUAAAUCCUUUGGUGUCUUUUCUCUCAGCAGCUCACAGAUCACCUUCUGGGAUUGGGAUCAGAAGGGGUGUGUGUGUGUGUGUGUGUGUGUGUGUGUGUGUGUGUGUGUGUGUGUGUGUGUUUGUAGGGUUUCAUUUUCGAGAUUUGCUUUUGAAGUUCAGACUGUAUUCUUACAGUGAACCGGAGCUCCCUUUUUCUUCACUACAGAGGCCUCACGAGUACCACACAAGCACUCUACUGCUAAGCAAUAUUCCUAGCUAUGUUCUGAAAUGUUUAUUCUGAGGUAAGGUCUAGUCGUUCAUCCUGGGAACUGGGACAUCUCCAGCAUCGGCCUCCCAGGUUCUGGAAUUAUAAGUGGAAGUCACAACACCCGGCGCUGCUUAUUUUUGCAACAUCUUCAUAUGAAUUAAAAUUCUAGCCAUUGAUUCUCAUCCCACCUACACGAAAGAUCUGCCUCACGAAAACAUAAACAUCAGCUAUGUAAGGUCAGCAGCUCAGCUCUGGGAGGAACAACCAGGCCCAGCGCACUGGCCCUUGGAACUUGACCUACUGAGCAUCGCUGGCUGUGGCAUUUUCAUUUGAUACCAUAACUCUAAAGGUAUUCAAUAUUUUUCAAAUUCUAGGGAGGCAUCACCUAAGAUGAAUCAAAAUAAUAAUGAUAAUCAUACAGAAAUGGUGGAAAGCACACAUUCAUAUCCACAAACUUAAUACUUUUUAACAGGUAAGGUUUUAAAAUAGUAAUAUUCUUUGCUGUAAACAUAAUUUUGUAAUUUCAGUUUGCAAAUUUGAGACUUUUAUUUGCUUAUUUCUAGACAGGAGUAGCCCAGGCUAGCCUAAAACUUACAAUCUUUUUGCUUCAUCUCCUUCAGUGCUGGGGUUACAGCUGGUUCCCAGCAUGCAGAACUAAGGUAAUCUAUUAAACCUGUGAUUUUGAUAAUCAUGAGCCUGUUGUGGUAGUUGGUAAAUAUUUGUAGCCCCAACACUCAUGAAGUAGAGGCAGGAUGCUCAGAAGCUCAGUGCAAACAUUAAAUACGUAGUCAGUCAGAGGCUAGCCUGAGCUACAUGAGACCCUGUGAUGGUUUGUAUAUGCUCUGUCCAGGGACGGACACUUUUAGAAGGUGUGUCACAGUCAGUGUGUGGACUUAAGACCCUCACCCUAGCUUCCUGGAAGUCAGUAUUGGGCUAGCAGCCUUCAGAUGAAGGUGUAGAACUCUCAGCUCUGCCUGCACCGUGCCUGCCUGGAUGCUGCCAUGCUCCCACCUUGAUGAUAAUGGACUGAACCUCUGAACCUGUAAGCCAGCUCCAAAUACAUGUUGUCCUUUAUAAGAGGUCAUGGUGUCUGUUCGCAGCAGUAAAACCUUAAGGUGGAAGUUGGUACCAGGGACUGGGGUAUUGCUGGGAUAAGCCUGACCAUGCUUUGGUUUGGAGGAAUGGGAUUUGGGGGCUUGGGAAAGCAGUGGGAUGCUUUAAGUUGGGCUUAUGGGGCUAUCCUAGUAGGAAUAUGGAAGACUUUGUUGCUGAGUGUGAUUUGAACUGUGCAUACCUGGCCCAAGAAGUUUUAGUGGAGGAGAAUUUCAGACUGUGGCCUAGAGACUUGUUUCUGUGAUAUUUUGGUGACGAAUGUAGCUGCUUUUUGCCCUUGUCUGAAGCGUCUACCUGAGGCUAAGGUAAAGAGAUUUAUAUUAAUUGCAUUAACAAAGAAAGUCUCAAAAAAGCCCAGCAGAGACCGUGUUCUCUGGUUAAGUCUCAUGAAGAGUGUUUUGAACAAGCAUAGCAAGCUUAAAAAGGAAAAAUAUAAAAUAUAUGGUUCAAGUAUUAAAGGGCACCAGCAAGUGGAAUGGAACUGAAUCCUAUUCUAGGAGAUAACAGGUUAAGGGAUUUGGGGUCAAGAUCCCACCCAGAUAAAUUUACGUGGAGGCAUGAUGGUAUACACCUUUAAUCCCAGGAGACAAAACCAAACAGAUCUCUGGUUCAAGGCCAGCCUGGGACAAAGCAGGUUCUAAGUGAAGAAAAGCUUAAAGCCAGGCGCGGUGGUACACACCCUUAAUCCCAGCAAUACCAGAGACAGAGACAUGCAGCUCUCUGAGUUCAAGGUCAAUCUACAGAGCAAAUUCCAGGAAAGCCAAGCUUAGGCAGAGAGGGAAUCGCAGAAACAGAAAGCUGGUAAUAGAAUAAGGGGGCCAUGUUCCAGGUCCUGCAAGCAGCAGAACUCCGCCGUGUGGCUCUGACUUUAGAGUGAAAAAUAGAAAGGAUGAUUGAUGCUGGUUAGCUGAAGCUAAGAAAUUAGUGGUAAUUAAGAGCCCAGCAUCACUGAGGUGAAAUCUUUUGGGAAGUGUCUUCUGAGCGCACAAAGAAGCCGUGUUCCAGAAAUAGCCAAGGUUGUACCUCAUGCUGCAGCUGGACUUGGUAUUGUGUAAGAGUUACCCAGGUGGUACUGGUUUUGAAGGCAUGAAGGGGUCAUGAAUAGCAGCUGAGUCUUGGCACCGUGAGAGGCCAUGGAAGGCCACUGGGGAAGGUGCAGCUUCAGUUGCAGUUGAUGGCCCAGGACUGAAGGGGUCAUGCAAAGAAUUUGAGGCUUGGCACUGUGAAGAGAGCCUGCGAGAGGCUAUUGGUAAAGCCUAGUUGCAGUGGAAAGACCCCACAAGGCAGAACAGAAGAAAUCUUAGGCCAAUCUGAUCUAGGCAGCAAGUCUAAGACCUCCAGAGCCAUACAGUGAGACCUUGUCUCAAACACUCACCCAUAAGCCAAGCUCUAACUUCAGAACUUGGGAGCAGGUGGAGACGGGAGAAUUAGGAACUUAAGGUCAUUCUUGGCUACAUAGUGAACUCAAGGUUAGCCUGGGCUACAUGAAAAUCAGUCUCAAAAUACAAACAAACAAACCAAGUGCACAGAUGGGUUUAUAAGGUCGUGUCCCCAUUCUCAGGAGUAGUAAUGUGUUGUUCGCUCCUUCAUUUCUCACCUUGCUGAAGAUAAGGCAAUAAUAAAAGCACGAUCACCAAUAAGAGAAGGCUUUUAAUUUGGAAUAAUGAAAUGGUAUAAUUUGAAAUACUGAUCAUGAUCUUAAUCAUACAAUAGUAUGUGUAACGACUGUUUAAUCUUCUGGGAAGAAGCGUGCAAAAUGUGAAUGAAAAAAAAUUAAAGAGAAUUAUGUCUAGUGGAGGAGGAGGAAAUAGCCCAAUAUUUUAAUGGCUUCCAUAAAACAAGUUCAACUGGGGGUGAAAAGGGUGGAACUAAUGAACCCGAACGUUUCCCUUUACAGCCGUGACUGUACCAAGCCCCACGGCGAUCUCGAUAGUGCUCGCUGGGGAAACAUUUUCUCCUUUACGUAUAUUGACCAAAAUUACCUCUCAAUUACAGAUAAUUAGUAUAGUUAUAACGCUUUGUGUGUUCCAGUUGUACAAAAAAAAAAAAAAAAAAAAAAAAAAAAAACGAGAGCAGUGUGGUAGGAUUCAAGUUAUCUGAGGCUGGGGAUGAUGCACAAUUGGUAGAGUGCUUGCCUCUCACCCAUGAAGCCCUGUUUAACCCCAGCACAGCACAGCACAGACAGGCACGGUGGUGCCCAUCUGCAGAUCCCAGUGAAAGACCCCCUCCCAGAAAGGGAAUUGUACAAGCCCAAGGCCCUCACUAUAGAAGUAAAAAGUAAGUUUUUAGAUACACAGACUCAGAACUAAAAUAAGCCUGGGAAAAUUCAGAUGUGUCCAAGCUUUGUGGGACAAGCUGACCCAUCAUUUAGACGAAACAGACCAUAAAAGAAAACAAAAUGCAGAAACCAGACUAAAUUAUGAGCAUUGCUCCAUGGGCCACCUGGCAGGAAAAAGAAACAGUCCCUGACCCCCCCGGAAGCCCUGACCACCAUGUACUUUUUGCUAACUCACUGUUAUGAUUAUAGCCAAAAUAGGUAACAUACACGUAUGCCUGAUUUACUCCACCAAUCACAUCCCUGUAACCAUGCAUCUGCUUCUGUAAGCCUGCUUCUGCUCCCCAAUGCCCUAUAAAAACCCGUCCCUGGUUCUGCUAGGAGCGCCAGUCUUCCGAAUUGACUGGGAUGCCCACAGAUACCUGUGUAUCCUGAUCAAUAAAAAUCCUCUUGCAGAUUUCA